AAGCAAUGCCUUGAGUUUAGGGUAGCUCUCUUUUCUGUUAAACUUCCAGACAUUAAUACAGGCUAGAUAGAGUACAUGAUUGCAUAGAAAGUAUUACUCUAUACAUUUGCCUCUCAGCUAACGCCA
ensembl:snoRNA